rnacentral:rRNA from 1 species
UACGUAGGGGGCAAGCGUUGUCCGGAUUUAUUGGGCGUAAAGAGCGUGUAGGCGGCCAGGUAGGUCUGGUGUGAAAACUCGAGGCUCAACCUCGAGAGGUCAUCGGAAACCAUCUGGCUAGAGUCCGGAAGAGGAGAGUGGAAUUCCCGGUGUAGCGGUGAAAUGCGCAGAUAUCAGGAAGAACACCCGUGGCGAAGGCGGCUUUCUGGGACGGUACUGACGCUGAGACGCGAAAGCGUGGGGAGCGAACAGG